GAUGAACGCUGACAGAAUGCUUAACACAUCAGCAAUUGAUUGGUGGCGGACGGGUGAGUAACGCGUAAAGAACUUGCCUCACCGCUAGGGACAACAUUUGGAAACGCAUGCUAAUACCUAAUACUGUGAGAGAGCUUUGGGUCCCAUUAGCUAGUUGGAGAGGUAACGGCUCACCAAGGAGAUGAUGGGUAGCCGGCCUGAGAGGGUGAUCGGCCACAAGGGGGCUGUGACACGACCCGUACGCCUACGGGAAGAAGCAGUGGGGAAUAUUGGACAAUGGACCAAAGUAUGAUCCAGCAAUUCGGUGUGCACGAUGAAGUUUUCGGAAUGUAAAGUGCUUUCAGUUGAGAAGCGGUACCAACAGAAGAAGUGACGGCUAAAUACGUGCCAGCAGCCGCGGUAAUAC
rnacentral:rRNA from 1 species